rnacentral:rRNA from 1 species
GUCUUUUAGAAUAUAAUUUAAAGUCUAACCUGCCCACUGAAUUUUUUUGAAGGGCCGCGGUAUUUUGACUGUGCAAAGGUAGCAUAAUCAUUAGUCUUUUAAUUGGAGGCUUGUAUGAAUGGUUGGAUGAAACAUUAACUGUCUCAAUAUAAUAAAAAUAGAAUUUAAUUUUUAAGUUAAAAAGCUUAAAUAAUAUUAGAGGACGAGAAGACCCUAUAGAUCUUUAUAAUUAAUUUUUUAUUAUUUAUAUAGAAUAUUAAUUAGUAUUAAUUAAUUAAUUAUUUUAUUGGGGUGAUAAAUAAAUUUAGUAAACUUUAUUUAAAUUAAACAUUUAUUUAUGAAUAAUUGAUCCAUUAUUAGUGAUUAAAAGAUUAAGUUACCUUAGGGAUAACAGCGUAAUUUUUUUAGAGAGUUCUUAUCGAUAAAAAAGUUUGCGACCUCGAUGUUGAAUUAAAGGUUAAUUUUAGGUGCAGAAGUUUAAAGUUUUGGUCUGUUCGACCAUUAAAUC